UCAAUAUCGUACCCAACCCAACAGAGAGCAACAAGCAAGAGAAAAUUAGAAAGACAGCAGUUGCACAGAGACAGGUUUCAUUUCCAACAAGAUAUGUGCUCCAUGAUUCAGUUCGAACUACAGAGGAAAUACUGAACUAAACACGUCGAGGUUUUCAUCGAGCUUUUGAAAUCUGCAGGCGGCGACAGACACUGGCGGCCAUCGGGCGGCCCUAGCCGCCGAAGCCGUAGAGGGUGCGGCCCUGGCGCUUGAGCGCGUAGACGACGUCCAUGGCGGUGACGGUCUUGCGACGGGCGUGCUCGGUGUAGGUGACGGCGUCGCGGAUGACGUUCUCGAGGAAGAUCUUGAGCACGCCGCGGGUCUCCUCGUAGAUGAGCCCGGAG
rnacentral:lncRNA from 1 species